rnacentral:rRNA from 1 species
AGUGAACGCUGGCGGUAUGCCUAAUACAUGCAAGUCGAACGGACACACAGUAAGCGCGCGCUUUUACCGUUGGCGGCUGACGGAUGGGUGACGAAUACAUAGCCAACUACUUUGUCGUGGGGGACUACGUAGGGCAACUUACGCUACUACCUCAUACAACCUACCGGUGAGAGCAGGGGUUCUUCGCACCUUGCCCGAUUGAAUGAGCCGGUGUCGGAUUACCUAGUUGGCUGGGUAAAGGCCCACCAAGGCGACGAUCCGUAGCUGGUCUGAGAGGAUGAUCAGCCACACUGGAACUGAGACACGGUCCAGACUCCUACGGGAGGCAGCAGUGGGGAAUAUUCGACAAUGGGCGCAAGCCUGAUCCAGCCAUACCGCGUGGGUGAAGAAGGCCUUCGGGUUGUAAAGCCCUUUUGUUGGGGAAGAAAAGCAGCAUGUUAAUACCCCGCUGUUCUGACGGUACCCAAAGAGUAAGCACCGGCUAACUUCGUG